GAGGGUAUAGUUCAAGUGGUAGAGCACAUGCUUAGCAUGCACGAGGUCCUGGGUUCAAUCCCCAGUACCUCCA
rnacentral:tRNA from 1 species